AUUGAACGCUGGCGGCAUGCUUUACACAUGCAAGUCGAACGGUAACAGGCCUUCGGGUGCUGACGAGUGGCGAACGGGUGAGUAAUGCAUCGGAACGUGCCCAAUCGUGGGGGAUAACGUAGCGAAAGUUACGCUAAUACCGCAUAAGCCCUGAGGGGGAAAGCAGGGGAUCGCAAGACCUUGCGCGAAUGGAGCGGCCGAUGUCAGAUUAGCUAGUUGGUGGGGUAAAGGCCUACCAAGGCGACGAUCUGUAGCGGGUCUGAGAGGAUGAUCAGCCACACUGGAACUGAGACACGGUCCAGACUCCUACGGGAGGCAGCAGUGGGGAAUAUUGGACAAUGGGCGCAAGCCUGAUCCAGCCACGCCGCGUGGGUGAUGAAGGCCUUCGGGUUGUAAAGCCCUGUCGGAGGGGACGAAGUCUUCGGAUUGACGGUACCUUCCAAGAAAGCACCGGCUAACUCCGUG
rnacentral:rRNA from 1 species